AUUAACGAAGAAAAUGAACAAGAAGUGAUUUUUAAUAUAUUAGCACUUGAUCAUAAAAUAAAUAAAAAUUUAGGAUUAGUGUUUGUUAUCCCUAACUAAACGAUAUCUAUGCAGCUUAUGCCGAAAAAUGAUUAGGACUUGGCUAAAGGUUCUGCAUAUUGUUCAUAUUUUGGCAAGAAAGACGCUAAAAUUGUAAAACACUAGGACAGUUCUCAUUUACCAGAGGGCUACCUACUAGAGUUGUUCAUUUAGUGUCCCAAAAGAAACUUUUUGACACUAGAAGACUCGACUCUUUGUUUACUCACUCAGAUCAUCCAACUCGGAGGAACACGUUCUGAUGACACAGGAGGCAAUGUACGAACAUUGAUAUCAAGAGGAAG
rnacentral:misc_RNA from 1 species